GCAUAUCAAUAAGCGGAGGAAAAGAAACCAACAGGGAUUGCCCCAGUAACGGCGAGUGAAGCGGCAACAGCUCAGAUUUGGAAUCUGGCCCCCAGGGCCCGAGUUGUAAUCUGGAGAGGAUGCUUCUGGCGCGGCGCCUUCCGAGUUCCCUGGAACGGGACGCCGGAGAGGGUGAGAGCCCCGUACGGUCGGACGCCUAGCCUUUGUGAAGCUCCUUCGACGAGUCGAGUAGUUUGGGAAUGCUGCUCAAAAUGGGAGGUAAAUUUCUUCUAAAGCUAAAUAUUGGCCAGAGACCGAUAGCGCACAAGUAGAGUGAUCGAAAGAUGAAAAGCACUUUGAAAAGAGGGUUAAACAGUACGUGAAAUUGUUGAAAGGGAAGCGCCCGUGGCCAGACUUGUGCCCCGCGGACCACCCGGCGCCCUCAGCGCCGGUGCACUCCGCGGGGCGCAGGCCAGCAUCGGUUUUUCCAGGGGGACAAAGGCGGCGGGAACGUGGCUCCCUCGGGAGUGUUAUAGCCCGCCGCGCCAUGCCCCUGGGGGGACCGAGGACCGCGCUUCGGCAAGGAUGCUGGCGUAAUGGCCACCGGCGACCCGUCUUGAAACACGGACCAAGGAGUCAAGCAUUGGGGCGAGUGUCUGGGUGCCAAACCCGCACGCGAAAUGAAAGUGAACGCAGGUGAGAGCUUCGGCGCAUCAUCGACCGAUCCUGAUGUUCUCGGAUGGAUUUGAGUAAGAGCCUUACCGCUUGGACCCGAAAGAUGGUGAACUAUGCCUGUAUAGGGUGAAGCCAGAGGAAACUCUGGUGGAGGCUCGCAGCGGUUCUGACGUGCAAAUCGAUCGUCAAAUAUGGGCAUGGGGGGCGAAAGACUAAUCGAACCAUCUAGUAGCUGGGUACCGCCGA
rnacentral:rRNA from 1 species